CUUGAACGCUGGCGGCAGGCCUAACACAUGCAAGUCGAACGAGUGGCGGACGGGUGAGUAAUGUCUGUGAAACUGCCUGAUGGAGGGGGAUCACUACUGGAAACGGUAGCUCAUACCGCAUCCCAUCGGAUGUGCCCAGAUGGGAUUAGCUAGUAGGUGGGGUAAUGGCUCACCUAGGCGACUAUCCCUGGCUGGUCUGAGAGGAUGACCAGCCACACGGGAACGGGGGCACGGUCCAGACUCCUACGGGGAGCAGCAGUGGGGAAUAUGGCACAAUGGGCGACAGCCUGAGGCAUCCCUGCCGCGUGUAUGAAGAAGGCCGCCGGGUUGUAAAGUACUUUCAGCGGGUAGGCGUUACCCGCAGAAGAAGCACCGGCUAACUCCGGGCCAGCAGCCGCGGUAAUAC
rnacentral:rRNA from 1 species